rnacentral:rRNA from 1 species
GACGAACGCUGGCGGCGCGCCUAACACAUGCAAGUCGAACGGUGAAGAGGAGCUUGCUCCUCGGAUCAGUGGCGGACGGGUGAGUAACACGUGAGCAACCUGGCUCUAAGAGGGGGACAACAGUUGGAAACGACUGCUAAUACCGCAUAACGUAUCGGGAUGGCAUCUUCCUGAUACCAAAGAUUUUAUCGCUUAGAGAUGGGCUCGCGUCUGAUUAGAUAGUUGGCGGGGUAACGGCCCACCAAGUCGACGAUCAGUAGACCGGACUGAGAGGUUGAACGGCCACAUUGGGACUGAGACACGGCCCAGACUCCUACGGGAGGCAGCAGUGGGGAAUAUUGCACAAUGGGGGAAACCCUGAUGCAGCGACGCCCGCGUGGAGGAAGAAGGUCUUCGGAUGUAAACUCCUGUGUUGAGGAAGAUAAUGACGGUACUCAACAAGGAAGUGAACGGCUAAACGUACGUG